UACGUAGGGACCAAGCGUUGUUCGGAUUUACUGGGCGUAAAGGGCGCGUAGGCGGCGCUGUAAGUCACUUGUGAAAUCUCCGGGCUUAACUCGGAACGGUCAAGUGAUACUGCAGUGCUAGAGUGCAGAAAGGGCAAUCGGAAUUCUUGGUGUAGCGGUGAAAUGCGUAGAUAUCAAGAGGAACACCUGAGGCGAAGGCGGGUUGCUGGGCUGACACUGACGCUGAUGCGCGAAAGCCCAGGGGAGCGAACGGG
rnacentral:rRNA from 1 species